UGGUCUUGACAUCCUAGGAACCUUUCAGAGAUGAGAGGGUGCCCGCAAGGGAGCCUAGAGACAGGUGCUGCAUGGCUGUCGUCAGCUCGUGUCGUGAGAUGUUGGGUUAAGUCCCGCAACGAGCGCAACCCUCGCCUUUAGUUGCCACGCAAGUGGAUCUCUAGAGGGACUGCCGGUGUUAAACCGGAGGAAGGUGGGGAUGACGUCAAGUCCUCAUGGCCUUUAUGACCAGGG
rnacentral:rRNA from 1 species